CCCGGCUCUUUGCAAAUCUGAUGCCAGAUCACUAUCUUGAAUACUGUGUAGAGAUCACUGUAACCAUGCUGAAAGAAGUAUUUGUGCUUGGAUGCCUCCUGAGCCUCGCUCUGGCUCAACCUUUGGGCAUGGAGCACAAACGACUUGCUCGGUCAAGGUCUGACUCUGACUCUAACUCGGAUUCCAAUGAGGGUACCGCAACAACAAAUAACCAGGCUGCUUUGCAACAGUUGCUUCAAUUCUUAAUUACCCAGCUCAUAAACCAACAGACCACUACU